CAAGACUUGAGACAAGACUUCAGCUUCCAGGAGACAUCCUGGUUACCCAGAUAGGGCCUACCGUUCUCCAAUGAGACUGAAUUUAAGUCAGUAACAGAGGUACCCCAGAUAUGGGGUACUUACAUUCAGGGAGUUUAAUCUCUUCCAGGAAGUAGUGUCAGUGCCAAAGACUCCCCAGUUCUUCCAGAGGCAACUCUAGGAGGCAUGCAUGCCUCUUAUUCAAUGAAGGAAGGAAGGGAAGGCUCUUGACUGUCUUAGCUUGUAAUAAAAAAAAUAAUGUGGACCUCAUUUUGUGCUUUUUGAUCAACGUAUGUGCUUUCUAUUCCAGUUUUUUUCCUCCUGAUCACUGUUACGGACACUCCCCACCAAUGCAUCAACCCUUUCCAACCAAAAAGUUGUCUUGCCCUUUCACAACGUCAGUUCUGCAUCAUGAUGUUCUCUAAGGCAGAGAAGUGAACCCGCAGAAAAUGAACCAACUACAUAUGCAACUGAUGAACAUGCCAGUCCGGCGGUAUUUGCCCACAUCCCCUUAUGUAGCUCCUGACAUUUCACAAAAUUAAAACAAACACCAACUGCAUGAAAAGUAUUUGCUUUUGGUAUUUGUCCCCGUAACGUGGAUGGUCUACAUAAAGACCCUGCUCUGUCUUUACAAACAUUGCUUCAAGAGGACGAUGUACGCACAUCACAGAGGCAGAAACACCACCAAGUAAACACUGUUAUGAUAGCUACUGAUAUUACCAGUGACGUUAAAUCUGAUCGAAGCUAGUCAGGGAGGCAGUGAGAUGAAGUUGUAGCUUUUCACAAUGUUUUUGGGAUAUCACAUUUCGUUAUCAGCGCAAGUUCAGUAUUGUCCAGUUUAGAGAAGAAACCACUAAAAGGCAUUAUAAUUACCAUACAGAAUUUAACAAUGUAAGCUACCCUCUGUUUAUUGACUAAUGUAUAUAAUCAAGCCUAAUUACCACCAAGACCAUCCUGAUGAAUCUGAGCAAAUCUGGUACCAACAUCUGAAGGCAGACACUCCAAUGGACCCUGCACAAGGCUGGUCUCUAUGGGCGC
ensembl:lncRNA